CUUUGUUUAGUAGCCAAGGAUGACUUGCCUUUCAUCAAUGCAUACAAAAUGGGAGCAAAAACCCCUUUUGAUGGUUGGAAUGCGUGGCAAGCAUCUUUGGCGACUUGACGAGCUC
rnacentral:pre_miRNA from 1 species